AAAAAGUGUACUCCUCCCCCGACAAGCGGAGCCAGUGUUCUUCUGACUGCAAAGCCCUGUGGUGUUUAGGUUGGUUCUUGGCAUUACUGCUCCACCCUAAGUCCAGCAAUGAGUACGGCUUACUGGAUUGGCCCAUUGAGGGUGAAAGGCCCGUGUGGGUGGAGACUCAGACUAUCAGUUUUGCCCUGAGCCAACCUUGGAGUCGGGUUGUUUGUGAAUGCAGCCCAAAGUGGGUGGUAAACUCCAUCCAAGGCUAAAUACUGGCACGAGUCCGAUAGCGAACAAGUACCGUGAGGGAAAGUUGAAAAGUACUUUGAAGAGAGAGUAAACAGUCCGUGAACCCGCUCAGAGGUAAACGGGUGGAGUUGAACUGGAAGCCCUGGGGAUUCAGCUGAUGAGUAUGGCAUGAGCUUGGGCAUAUUGGUCGGCUUUCAGAGUCCGCUUAGCUGCGGGUCCUUGCCUUAACGGGUUUGGAUGUGCGUUACGCUCAUUAGGCGUUGUGCGCUCUGUCUGUUCCGGGCCUGCUCGUCAGUGCAAUUCCUCAGGGUGUUCACCACGACCGGCGCUGCUGUCUGUCUGUUGCGGUCAAACCGGUUGAGCUUAGUCAUUUUGAUUAAGUUUGGUCGGGAUGGCAGGUAGCUCUCGAGAUUUUCUGGCUUCGGCUGGUCAAGCUCUUGAGUGUAAUUAGCCGACUGUAAUGGAUCUGUGCGGUGCGUCGGAGCUGGCGGCUUUGGUGUGUGUACGCGUGCUGUAGCUUUCUGGCUUGGUCAAGUUUGGUUAAUGUGUUACCUGCUUCGGUGGGUCUAUUAAUGGCUUGACUUUGCGUAGUGAGUGGUGGCGCGUGCGACACUAUCUAGGGCCAAAAGUCUGUGGUGUUGUGGUAAACUAUCCACCCGACCCGUCUUGAAACACGGACCAAGGAGUUUAACAUGUACGCGAGUCAUUGGGCGUUACGAAACCCAAAGGCGUAGUGAAAGUAAAGGUUCGGCUUGCCCGAGCUGAGGUGAGAUCCUGCUGUUUCUCUGCCUUGGACUACCAAGCAUUCGAGCAGUGGGCGCAUCACCGGCCCGUCUCAUGAUGUAGUCAUAUGACCUUUGGUUGUGUGCACCUUCGGGGCGGAACUAGAGCGUACACGUUGAGACCCGAAAGAUGGUGAACUAUGCCUGCGGAGGUUAAACCCAAAGAAACUCUGGUGGAAGACCCCAAUNCUGCCGCAAAUCGGUGGGUUAGAAAGAUAGACAACUUACGGGGGCGCCCAGAAGGAAACAGACCGGAACCCCUUGGAAAAGGGAGAAGAGGAAUAGCAAAGCACCGAAACCUGGGGCCAUAUAUUGUCAGGCAAAUGGGGGUUAAGGUUGGUUCUGGGCAUUACUGCUCCACCCUAAGUCCAGCAAUGAGUACGGCUUACUGGAUUGGCCCAUUGAGGGUGAAAGGCCCGUGUGGGUGGAGACUCAGACUAUCAGUUUUGCCCUGAGCCAACCUUGGAGUCGGGUUGUUUGUGAAUGCAGCCCAAAGUGGGUGGUAAACUCCAUCCAAGGCUAAAUACUGGCACGAGUCCGAUAGCGAACAAGUACCGUGAGGGAAAGUUGAAAAGUACUUUGAAGAGAGAGUAAACAGUCCGUGAACCCGCUCAGAGGUAAACGGGUGGAGUUGAACUGGAAGCCCUGGGGAUUCAGCUGAUGAGUAUGGCAUGAGCUUGGGCAUAUUGGUCGGCUUUCAGAGUCCGCUUAGCUGCGGGUCCUUGCCUUAACGGGUUUGGAUGUGCGUUACGCUCAUUAGGCGUUGUGCGCUCUGUCUGUUCCGGGCCUGCUCGUCAGUGCAAUUCCUCAGGGUGUUCACCACGACCGGCGCUGCUGUCUGUCUGUUGCGGUCAAACCGGUUGAGCUUAGUCAUUUUGAUUAAGUUUGGUCGGGAUGGCAGGUAGCUCUCGAGAUUUUCUGGCUUCGGCUGGUCAAGCUCUUGAGUGUAAUUAGCCGACUGUAAUGGAUCUGUGCGGUGCGUCGGAGCUGGCGGCUUUGGUGUGUGUACGCGUGCUGUAGCUUUCUGGCUUGGUCAAGUUUGGUUAAUGUGUUACCUGCUUCGGUGGGUCUAUUAAUGGCUUGACUUUGCGUAGUGAGUGGUGGCGCGUGCGACACUAUCUAGGGCCAAAAGUCUGUGGUGUUGUGGUAAACUAUCCACCCGACCCGUCUUGAAACACGGACCAAGGAGUUUAACAUGUACGCGAGUCAUUGGGCGUUACGAAACCCAAAGGCGUAGUGAAAGUAAAGGUUCGGCUUGCCCGAGCUGAGGUGAGAUCCUGCUGUUUCUCUGCCUUGGACUACCAAGCAUUCGAGCAGUGGGCGCAUCACCGGCCCGUCUCAUGAUGUAGUCAUAUGACCUUUGGUUGUGUGCACCUUCGGGGCGGAGCUAGAGCGUACACGUUGAGACCCGAAAGAUGGUGAACUAUGCCUGCGGAGGUUGAAGCCAGAGGAAACUCUGGUGGAGGACCGCAGCGAUUCUGACGCGCGAAAUAGUAUCGCUCUACACAGUGGAGACCGGAGGGCGGG
rnacentral:rRNA from 1 species